CUAAAAAGAACAAGAGUGGACAGUACUGAUGACCCCAAAGUCAAGCAAAACACACAGGUCGAUGUCGAACCCCAGCCAGUGGACACCGAGAAUGAUGUUCCUGAUAUGCAACCAGACC
rnacentral:lncRNA from 1 species